rnacentral:tRNA from 1 species
CGGGGCGUGGCGCAGCCUGGUAGCGCGCUCGCUUUGGGAGCGAGAGGUCGCCGGUUCGAAUCCGGCCGCCCCGA